rnacentral:lncRNA from 1 species
UUUGCCAUCUCAAAUGUUGUAGAUGUAGUUCUUAUGAGCAUGAAUAUUGGAGCUAAAAUUUGGUGCCAUGUUUUUGGGAAUUUUCGGCCAAAUCCAAAGGGUGGUUUUUUGGGUUUUGUUUGACUUGUUAAAAGUGUUUUCAAGUAACUUUUGGAACCCCUAUGUGUUGGAAAUGUGCCCUAAAGCCAAUCAUGUGAUGAUACUUUACGGACAUUUCACAUGUUAAACUAAUCU